GACGAACGCUGGCGGCGUGCCUAAUACAUGCAAGUCGAACGAACCGCGACUAAGUGCUUGCACUAAGUCAAGGUGAGUGGCGAACGGGUGAGUAACACGUGGGUAACCCACCUCAUAGUGGGGGAUAACAGUCGGAAACGACUGCUAAUACCGCAUAGGACAUAGGAUCACAUGAUCCAGUGAGGAAAGGUGGCGCAAGCUAUCGCUAAGAGAUGGACCCGCGGUGCAUUAGCUAGUUGGUAGGGUAAAGGCCUACCAAGGCGAUGAUGCAUAGCCGACCUGAGAGGGUGAUCGGCCACAUUGGGACUGAGACACGGCCCAAACUCCUACGGGAGGCAGCAGUAGGGAAUCUUCCGCAAUGGACGCAAGUCUGACGGAGCAACGCCGCGUGAGUGAAGAAGGUCUUCGGAUCGUAAAGCUCUGUUGUUAGAGAAGAACAGCGCAUAGAGUAACUGCUAUGCGUGUGACGGUAUCUAACCAGAAAGCCACGGCUAACUACGUG
rnacentral:rRNA from 1 species